rnacentral:rRNA from 1 species
GACGAACGCUGGCGGCGUGCUUAACACAUGCAAGUCGAACGAGCGGCGGACGGGUGAGUAAUGUAUGGGGAUCUGCCUGAUGGCGGGGGAUAACUACUGGAAACGGUAGCUAAUACCGCAUACCAUCAGAUGAACCCAUAUGGGAUUAGCUAGUAGGUAAGGUAACGGCUUACCUAGGCGACGAUCCCUAGCUGGUCUGAGAGGAUGAUCAGCCACACUGGGACUGAGACACGGCCCAGACUCCUACGGGAGGCAGCAGUGGGGAAUAUUGCACAAUGGGCGCAAGCCUGAUGCAGCCAUGCCGCGUGUAUGAAGAAGGCCUUCGGGUUGUAAAGUACUUUCAGUCGGGAGGCGUUACCGACAGAAGAAGCACCGGCUAACUCCGUGCCAGCAGCCGCGGUAAUAC